UUGAAUAGCAUGCAUUGAUGAUGUGGUUGCAUACAAUGACCUGACGAUGUUCUAAGGAACGGAACUAGUUGUCAUACUAGCAACUGUGGUUGGAUAAGGAAGGAAACUAGUCAUCAUACCAACAACUGUGGUUGAAUAAGGUCUGCUGGGGUCUCUGAGUCUCUCAAGGUGUGACUUCAUUUGAUACAAUGGCGAGUUCCAGUUGUUGAUGGAAACAUAACCUUAUUUAGCUGUGCCAAUUCAGCCCCAUGUAGACUACCGCAUUAAAGUAAGAUCUACCCAUUUAUUUAGUAUAUUUUAGAAGGAUUUUUUAUUUUGUUGGGAAACUAUGAUUUUGUUAUUCUGAUUAUAAAGCUACAUCUAUCGAUUUGGGAGUAGUUAAUAAUUAUUUCCCAUGACCACAUGAAUCUCAUACUAAAAGGCCUGACAAACACAAUUGUCUUAGGUACUACAAAAGCUAUAAUAUUAUAAGUUAUUUUAUUCUGUAGACCAAUUGGUUCAUACAAAGGGUGUACAUUAGUUUUGUAGUAAAGAAAUAAUUUCUUAUUUACAAUUGUAACGGUAAUGCCAAUA